CAUUGUUAGGUAUUCUCUUUAAAAUUGUCCAUAUGAUGGGCCUGACUCUGCCACAUAUAUUAUAUAGGAGCUGGGAAAGGCUUGAUGACAAAGAGAUCUCUCUCUAGCCUUUCCCCCAUCAGAGAUUGGCUCCCACAUGU